CUCAUGUUUGUUGUUGCUUUGGUUGAUUUCUUGGUUAUGUGAAUUUGGUCCUGCAAUUAGUGUAAUCCACAUUUGUCUUGUACAAUUUAAACUUAAAAGAAGUUUUAAUUAUGGUGCUAAAAUUGGGAAUUUUUGACUACUUGUUUUAUAAGAUCUGAGCUUCAUUUUUGUAUUGCCAAAAAGUUUUGAGAUGGUGGAACAAGACUUAUUACUGUCUAAUGAAUUGUAAUUUGUAAUACAUAUUAGGAGGGUAUGGUACGAAGUGAAAUAUUGCAGAUUUAUGCAUCAUUCAGUAAUUUUUUUAAUUCCAAGUGUGACUUUUCGGUAGGUUUUCUCUAGUUGCAAAGAGAAUGUUACCUCAAUCAUUGUACUGUAAUUUUUUGAGUUUCAAUUGUUCAUUAUGCAAUGAAUAGGAGUGCAGUAACAAUAUGGAGGAUUCAUCACCAAUCACAAUAAAAGAAAAACGAGGAUUUACAAUCUCUAAUAGAAAUCACAAUUUUCCUUUCGUCAAAACAAUAAAGCACAUUACAUUGAUGUGUGUAGGGAGAGCUAUUAGUACUUCUCUCUGUCCUUUUCCUAUAAUUCUAUGCAAUAGGGGUUGGUUGGAUGGGUUGGGUUGGGUUGGGGAUUGAAGUAGCUGUCAGGCCUUAGUAGAUUUAGAGUUUAGAAGAUUAUUUCAUAAUUUUAAAUUUUUAUUCACAAUCUGUUUGCAUUUAGCUAUUGAGAGAAAAAGCUUGUGGUUUAGUCCAACCUGGUCCUUAUUGCUAUUAACUCAUUUUACUUGUUUCAAGUUAGCAAUCGAAGAUCGCACCGAUGGUUAAAUGAUCGCCUAUUGAUGGAACUUGUUCCUCGUUUGAAUGCAGAAGAGAUUAGAGGCUUAUUUGCUCCACCACCUUGGGGUGAAAAACUUCAGGGCUGAUGAGCUGAUGGAGUUUUACAAAUUAGAUUUGAAACUGAAGAAGUUCCUGCACAUAAUUGAGAAUUCACAAGCGUAUCCUGUUUUGUAUGAUCGCAACAGGUAUUUUGGUUUCUUGAUUACACCAGUUUCACCUUAAUGAGGUACUACAUUUUCUGCUCAUUAUUAUAUUUUAUACCUUCCUACUUGAUUCAUUUAGAAGCUUUAACUUUUCCAUUUAUUGGUGGACUGACAUGUCAUUACAGAUGUACCGGGGCUGAAGCAGUUCCCUUGUUAGUUUGAUUGCUUCUAUUUCUUUGAUUUUUGUGUAUCAAAUUGAUACUUGAGAUGUGGAUUCUUUGUUGCUUUGUUUUAAUACUUGACCAGUCUGUUAUUUAUUGCUUUGUUGUAUGUUCUGUUGUGUUAAUUAUUAUUUAAGGUUUGUUAU